rnacentral:rRNA from 1 species
AGUGAACGCUGGCGGUAGGCCUAACACAUGCAAGUCGAACGGCAGCACAGGAGAGCUUGCUCUCUGGGUGGCGAGUGGCGGACGGGUGAGGAAUACAUCGGAAUCUACUUUUUCGUGGGGGAUAACGUAGGGAAACUUACGCUAAUACCGCAUACGACCUACGGGUGAAAGCAGGGGAUCUUCGGACCUUGCGCGAUUGAAUGAGCCGAUGUCGGAUUAGCUAGUUGGCGGGGUAAAGGCCCACCAAGGCGACGAUCCGUAGCCGGCCUGAGGGGAGGAGCAGCCACAAUGGAACUGAGACACGGUCCAGACUCCUACGGGAGGCAGCAGUGGGGAAUAUUGGACAAUGGGCGCAAGCCUGAUCCAGCCAUACCGCGUGGGUGAAGAAGGCCUUCGGGUUGUAAAGCCCUUUUGUUGGGAAAGAAAUCCAGCUGGCUAAUACCCGGUUGGGAUGACGGUACCCAAAGAAUAAGCACCGGCUAACUUCGUGCCAGCAGCCGCCGUAA